GACGAACGCUGGCGGCGUGCUUAACACAUGCAAGUCGAACGGAAAGGCCCUGCUUUUGUGGGGUGCUCGAGUGGCGAACGGGUGAGUAACACGUGAGUAACCUGCCCUUGACUUUGGGAUAACUUCAGGAAACUGGGGCUAAUACCGGAUAGGAGCUCCUGCUGCAUGGGGGGGGUUGGAAAGUUUCGGCGGUUGGGGAUGGACUCGCGGCUUAUCAGCUUGUUGGUGGGGUAGUGGCUUACCAAGGCUUUGACGGGUAGCCGGCCUGAGAGGGUGACCGGCCACAUUGGGACUGAGAUACGGCCCAGACUCCUACGGGAGGCAGCAGUGGGGAAUAUUGCACAAUGGGCGGAAGCCUGAUGCAGCAACGCCGCGUGCGUGAUGACGGCCUUCGGGUUGUAAACCGCUUUCGCCUGUGACGAAGCGUGAGUGACGGUAAUGGGUAAAGAAGCACCGGCUAACUACGUG
rnacentral:rRNA from 1 species